UCGAAUGCGUGCUUCUCCAGGAAUAUUUGCUCUGGUAAUAGCUGAGAAUAAAAGGCAUGUCUAACAGUUUGAUUGCAGAGACCUAGGAAGGGAAGGCUUAUAGCCGGCUUCUUCACAAUCCAACUGGAAGUAGGGUAGCCGGAUCCUGGCAUCCGUAUCUCCUGCUGGGUGAGGGUCACAGGAUCUCAGCGCCCAGGUGAGGCAACGAUGUUGAAAGAGGCUUCAGAAGAACUGGGCCAGAACAGUGGAAUCAAACGGAAAAGACUGGAAAUUCAAUCAGCUUGGGGAAUGACCAGAGAGCGUCUGUUGCCCAGCAAGGCUUGAAAACAGAGAUUCCCAGCAACAGGGCCAUAGCAAAGCUCUCUCAGCACACCUGCCCCGGACCGUCAGCUGAUGAGAGCUUGUGAUUGUGCCAUCCAAGGAGACGUAGCUAUUUGGUCUUCAGCUGGUUCUGGGCACAGAGCAUCUAAGACCCUUGGAAUCUUUCGAGUGGUCAGAGUGCCUUUGUGUAGUCGGGACAGGCCUGGGAGCUGGGGCCCCCUAGGCAGUUUCAGGGUGGUUCUCGGGUUCAGAAAGACCAAGGCAGGACUAGAGGGCUGGAGCUGUCAGUCUCCAACCCAACCUCUGACCUGGAGGGAGAGGGCUGGAGAUGAGUCAAUCCCCAUUAGCCAAAGAUGUCAUCAACCAUGUCUACAGUGACACCUCUAGAAAACCCUAAAUGGUGGGGUUGGAGAGCUUUCAGGUUGGGGAAAACCUUGACAUUCUGGGAGGGCAGCAUUCCCACUCCCCAGGGCCAGAAGCCCUUGCACUUGAAACCCGCCCCCACCCACCAGGCCUGGAGCAAUGCACCUCGUCAUCUGGCUGUUCACAGGUCCUUCAUAACGAACUGGUGAGAGUAGGUAAAGGUGUUGCCCUAGGUACUGUGAGCCAGUCUGGCGCGUUAUUGACCUUAAGUAGAAGGACAUGGCAACCCCGAUUUGUAGGUGGUCAUCUAGAAGCAAGCGAGACCUGAAACUUGCCAUUGGCGAAGCGGGGGCAGGCUCAGGGGACUGAGCCCUUGACCUUGAUUUUUCCUGUUGCAGCAAUAUGUCCAAUUUCAGAGCUGAAACAGGGGUGUAACAUCUGCCAUUUAGAUUUGGGGAGGACCCUCAGAACCAACCUCAGGGCCACCUGCCACAUGUACAUCAGCACUGUGGUGCAACUUGAACUCUGCAAAUCAAGCCUCUAAUGUCUUAGGGGAAUCUGAACCUUCGAUUUCAUGCCCCGUGCAAGGUGAGUCCUUCCGAGAACACCCCUUGGAGCACUUCGCACAUGGUUCAGUGCUGAUCAGUUCUCAAUGAUCUGUGCCACCAGCACUUUGAUGCUUUGAACAACAACGUCCUAUAAUUCCCCCCAACGGCAAGCUACAGAUCUGAUUAGCGAGCCAAGAGCCUCACGCUUCAGAGGGGUGGAGUGUGCAUUAGUGACAGCUGAACUGUUUAGAAAGAGCCUGAAACAGCCAGCACCCGCUGGGCUGGAGUACAGGUGCCUAAAUAGUGCAACAGCGGAAACAUAAGCUAAACUCACAGGAAGAAAAAUUCACAUUAAAAUUACACUGAAAGAUUCUUCACCCAUCAUAUUGACAAAAAUAAAAGUCAGCUAAUAGGGCAGAUAAGGGAGUGGAGAAAGAAGUGCUGCUGUUUACCGCUCAGCGGGGUGUAUAGCCUCACAGGCUUCAAAAAGACAAUCAUCGUAAAAGCUACAUCGGUAGUUCUCUUUGAAACAGAACUCCCACUUCGAGAACUGUUUCCAUUUGCCACGAAGGUGUCACUCACCGCAGCAGCAAAAGAGGGAAAAUCACCAAACAGGGCUGGCUCAAAUAACCUUAGUGCUCCCACAACGUAGCACUGUGCCACCUCGAGAAUAGCACGGAGCUCGUUACAUGCUGACAAAGGACCCCAAGAUAUAAAAUAUGCGUGUGUAGGCAGUC